CACGUAGGGUGCGAGCGUUGUCCGGAAUUAUUGGGCGUAAAGAGCUCGUAGGCGGUCUGUCGCGUCUGCUGUGAAAACCUAGGGCUUAACUCUGGGCGUGCAGUGGGUACGGGCAGGCUAGAGUGCGGUAGGGGAGACUGGAAUUCCUGGUGUAGCGGUGAAAUGCGCAGAUAUCAGGAGGAACACCGGUGGCGAAGGCGGCACGCUGGACCUCUUCUGACGCUGAGGCGCGAAAGCCAGGGGAGCAAACGGG
rnacentral:rRNA from 1 species